rnacentral:rRNA from 1 species
UACGUAGGGACCGAGCGUUGUCCGGAAUCAUUGGGCGUAAAGAGCGUGUAGGCGGCCAGGUAGGUCGGUUGUGAAAACUGGAGGCUUAACCUCCAGACGUCGAUGGAAACCGUAUGGCUAGAGUCCGGAAGAGGAGAGUGGAAUUCCUGGUGUAGCGGUGAAAUGCGCAGAUAUCAGGAAGAACACCCGUGGCGAAGGCGGCUCUCUGGGACGGUACUGACGCUGAGACGCGAAAGCGUGGGGGAGCGAACAGGAUUAGAACCGUACGUCG